rnacentral:lncRNA from 1 species
UUUACGAUAUCGCCUCGGCCCUCCCGGCGGACCCGAAGCCUAAACGUCCAUUUCUUUAAUAACUUUGUAACGGCUCGUCGGAUUGCCGAACCGUCUUCGCCAACGCGUUCGUUUACCUAGCAAUUUGGUUUACGGAGGGUCAAAUGAGAUCAAACCCAUACAUUUUACAAAACCCCAUUCGGAGCCCUAACAUGCAAUUAACCUCUAAAUAAUCCAAAUUAAAUGGAGCAAACAUGUUUAGAAUGCUCAUUAGAGGCUAUUAGAACACUUAAAACUAAGGAUUAAGCCAAAUCCUAAAAGCUUACCUCAAUGUGAACGCCGCGACGAAAACACACCGUUGCAACGGCCGCACGAAAGCCCGAACCGACGCCUCCAAUGCGUUCGCAAGCUCGCUCUCCACCAACCCUCAAAUUAUUAGAGAGAGAUUUGGAGAGAUAAGAGAGAAAUCUAGAGAGAGAAAUAAGGUUUUCUCUCCCCACACCAUGAACGCAUGGUGGUGGUGGCGGUCGGCUGCUUGAGGGAAGAAGAAGACAUGAAGUCUUCUUAUAUAGUCAACACCUCAAAACACUAUUCAUCCAGGCAACUUAAAAUCUGAUAACUUUCGCCGGAGCUCCCUGAAUGUCCGUUUGAGCUCAAACUUGACAGUCAUGUUCGGUUUUACUUAACUUAACAAGCUGACGAUCACUGGUUCAGUUUCGACCCCGUUUGGUCACUGAAAACUGUACCGAACUGCAAUCUUUAUCAGAUAGCUUUCGAAUUUUAUUUCUCACUCUACGGGUGUCAGAAAAAUAUGAAACCUUAAAUCUAGCCUCAUAAAAAUAUUUCUGACUUAUCCUCCAAUUUUCAUAAUUUUCUGAGACUGUGCAUUUUCAGCUAAUUUAUCUGUCCCGUUUCCAACAGAAAAUUCUAAAUCUUCUGUUUUCAUUCCGAUUUCAGCACAAGUCACUUCUGACUUAUGUUUUACUUCUACAAAUCCAAUAAAAAUAGUUUUCCACACUAUUUUUAUUUAUUUUUUUAUUUUUUUAUACCAAAAUCUGGUAUGUUACACUAUCACUAUGUCAUCAU